UUACCCCCGAGUGUCCCGGGGCUCCCCGUACAGGCCACCAUCUGCCGCAGUCCGGCUGCAGCAAAAUAACCGGGGGGUGAUGAACAACUUGUGUACAUUGAUACAGCAGGAGUGGGAGCCGUUUAUUGUAGGACAGGAGGGGUAUAUAUACAUUCCACACAGCUUAUCUUAAUUCACAUAAACUAGAUACAGCAGUCAACCAAUAAGGAAUCUCCACACUUAAUGGCUCGCUGGUGUUACUUCACAAACCACUCCCUCUGGCAAAAUGCCAGGCGCCAUCUUGACUUGUUUACAGACUCUAACACUUUUUUGUUCCUGAUUCUCCCUUUGCAACUAAACAACCAACGACAAGAAGGAAGAAGGCAACCAGUGAAACCCUCCCAUCAUAAAGACCCCCUUCAUGGCGCAUUCUCAGCAGGAAACAGCUUGGAGAUUUCAUGGCCCACUUUUCCAUAGAAAAAGGAGGAAAUUGCCUGCCGCGACUGGACACCUGCCUCCAGGAACCCAGAGACUCUGCCAGGUGCUCUUGGUUAAUGCCUUUGAGACUGACUAAGAAUUGCUCACUGAUACAAGCAUAAACUUAACCCUAUGUACGCCUUGUCCAGUCACCUGCUACCUGCCACCUUGGAACUCUGGACUGCUAUUAUGCUGAAUGCCCUUAACUGUCACUCCCCCGCCUGACAGAAAAUAAGGACUUGGGGUCACUUCCCCCGAAUUUCGCCCUCUCUCAGCAUGAAGUGGCUUGGAGACGACGUCGCCCACUUUUCCUUAGAAAUGGAAGGUGCAAAUUGACAGUAGGGAAAUGUAACAGGGGUCCCUUCACCUUCCGAAUAUGGCCCUCGUUGCUCUAAGGCUUUUUUUUUUUUUUAAAGAACAUGUUUUAGGUGGCUGUGGUUGUGGCUCAGUGGUAGAGUGCUUGCGUAGUGUGAGUGAUGCAUUGAGUUCGUUCCUCAGCACUCCAUUAAAAAAAAUAAAUAAAGGUAUUGCAUCCAUCUACAACUAAAAUACUAAAAAAAAGAAGAGGAAGAACAUUUAUUUUGUCUCUCCUCCUCUCUUCCUUCCCUAACAAGAUUAGGGAGACAGUGUUCUCUUUUCCUCUUUUCUUCCCCUAGUUAAUUGCCCUUGAACACACCCACUAUGGGAAGGAGAUGCCUGCUGAGGAUCUGGGAAGUGAGUACCUCCCAAAUUAACAAGUGAAUCCUAACACACCUGGGACACCACCUCCCCACCCCCCCACCCCCAGAGCACACCUGGAAUGUAACCCUUGAAGAGUUCCUUAAAUUAAAACUACCCCCCACCUCCCUCAUCCCCCAUCCCCUAAUCUCCCCCCCCCACACCCCUCCCUCCUGAUGUAGAGAGUCACAGCCUUUGGGACAGGAGUCCCCUCUGUUUCUCCUUUGCUAACAAAGUAAUAAAGCUUCUUUUUCCUUUUUCUCAAACCCAUGUCCUCAUUAUUAAAUUGGCAUUCAUUGGCAUUGGGGACAGUGACCAAGCUUUUGUGACAAACCCAGGGGCAUUUUACCACUGAGCCACAACACUAGCCCUUUUUAUUUUUUUAUUUUGAGACAGGGUCUCACUAAGCUACUGAGGCUGGCCUCUAACUUGUGAUCCUCCUGCCUCAGCCUCCCCAGUCACUGGGAUUACAGGUGUGCAUUGCCAUGCCUGGCUUUACACAUCAUUCUUAAACAUAUUAUUCUUUAGGUUAGUGGAAGAUGGAAAAAUUCCAACUAUGCUUUCAGAAGAGGUCCUGGGGUCUUGUAAGUAUGAGUCGUAUGAGAAGUUUAACUCUACCUAGUAAACACUGAGUGGCUAUUAGGGCCCUUCUAAGAGCUAGAAGUAGUAGGGCUGAGUCAUUUGGGGGACUAUGGGAUUGUGUUUGAAUGAGCCCCAGACAUUGAAGUUUUGCUUAUGCACUGUUCAUUGAGAUUUGUUGUUUGUUUAUUUGUUUAUGUGGUGCUGCAGGUUGAGGUCAGGGCCUUGCACAUACUAGCCAAGUGCUCUGCCACUGAGCUACCGCUCCAACCUUCACUGAGCAACUACUAUGUGCCAGCCCUUAAGUCACUGAGGAUAUAUCCAGGAAGAAGGAUAAUAAAUGUACAAAACAACUUAUUUCUAUGAAAUUGUGAUUGUAUACCACUAAAGAGACUGCUAUGCUUAGAAUGUGUCCCCUAAAAUCGUGUUGGAGACAAAUCCUCAAUGCAUCAUCACCAUUGGGAGGUGGGCCCUAAAGGAGAUGUGUAGAUCACGAGGGCUGAGCCUCAUACAUGGAUUAAUCUGCUGUGGAAAACACUUCUGGAGUGGGCUAUCUCUCUCCUGCUUGUUUCCAUGUGAGAACAGGAUGCUUCUUCCCUCCAGAGGAUGCAGAGCUCAAGGGGCCAUCUUGGAAGCAGAGAGGGGGGCCCUAAUCUUUUGGCACAUUGACCUUGGACUCUCUAGCCUCCAGAACUGUAAGAAAUAAAUUUAAAAAAAAAUUUUUUUUGGUACCAGGGAUUGAAUCCAGGGGCACUCAACCAUGGAGAGCCACAUCCCCGGCCCUAUUUUGUAUUUUAUUUAGAGACAGGGUCUCACUGAGUUGCUCAGCAACUCACUUUUGCUGAGGCUGGCUUUGAACUUGCGGUCCUCCUGCCUCAGCCUCCUGAGCAGAUGGGAUUACAGGCAUGUGUCACCCUACCCAGCCGAGAAAUAAAUUUCUGUUGUUCAUAAACUA